GACAGAGGGGGCAAACGUUGUUCGGAAUUACUGGGCGUAAAGCGCGUGUAGGCUGCCUUGCAAGUCGGGUGUGAAAGCCCUGGGCUCAACCUAGGAAGUGCACUCGAAACUGCAAGGCUGGAGUCCUGGAGAGGAAGGCGGAAUUCUCGGUGUAGAGGUGAAAUUCGUAGAUAUUGGGAAGAACACCGAUGGCGAAGGCAGCCAUCUGGACCGACACUGACGCUGAGGCGCGAAAGCGUGGGGAGCAAACAGG
rnacentral:rRNA from 1 species